UGCAAAGCGGUGUUGGUUGAGGAUGGAUCGAUUACAGCUGUGCUAGGGUUUGUUCCUUCUCCUCUAGUUUUCAAUAACCUUCACACCGUAAUGAUCGACUAAUCUUCUCGUUUUUCUACUCCCUCAGAAGCGCUAUAAUGGACAACCAUGGCGACAACAGCUCCCCCAAACAAAGCUACAACAAGGGCAAAAACGUUGUCGCACCUCCCGACACCCUUGGGUAGAAACGUACCGCCCCCCGUCUCUCGCCGACGUGGCCACCCAUCGCGACAUCAUCAACACCAUCGAGAACAGAUUGCCGCAUUUGUUACUGUACGGGCCUCCCGGGAUGGGCAAGACGAUGCUUGCGGUGGCCCGAAAACUGUACGGGAUGCAAAUGCACAACAUGGUCUUGGAGCUGAAUGCGUCGGACGAAUGUGGGAUCGAUAUUGUUAGGCAGCAGAUUCAUGAUUUUGCUAGCACUCAGAUCUUCUCUUUUGGAGGAACUAAUCUGAUAGAAGAUGAUCUAUAUUGACGAAGUGACAUGACUGAUAUCAACGAAGCUGUGGGAACAACCAUCGAAUGGCCUGCUAACAUAGUUUUUAUGGACUCUUCGCCAGAGUCAAAGACGAAGGCGGAGAGGCAGUGCUACCACCCUUGUGGUGGUUCAGAAACCAUAACAAAGACGCCACCACAACCCCAAGAUUGCAAGAUGCUCGCCAUGGCACAAAACCACCACAACUCCCAAGAUUGGAAGCACAAUUAGAUUUUCCCCUUUUUGGUUAUGCCGAUGUUGAGAAAGAGGUAAUAAACAGAACUUUUGCAUGGGCUGCCCCUUGUCAAGUAUCAACUUUGUAUGGUUGUGACUUGUGAGGGUUUUUUUCUCUUCCAUACAUAUUGGAGAGAAAAAGAUAUGAAGAAGCA